UACGAAGGUGGCAAGCGUUGAUCGGAUUUACUGGGCGUACAGGGAGCGUAGGCGGUUGGGUAAGCCCUCCGUGAAAUCUUCGGGCCUAACCCGGAAAGUGCGGAGGGGACUGCUCGGCUAGAGGAUGGGAGAGGAGCGCGGAAUUCCCGGUGUAGCGGUGAAAUGCGUAGAGAUCGGGAGGAAGGCCGGUGGCGAAGGCGGCGCUCUGGAACACUUCUGACGCUGAGGCUCGAAAGCGUGGGGAGCAAACAGG
rnacentral:rRNA from 1 species